AUGUUCAUGUUUGUACUUCACUGGCCAGAGACGGUCACGUGGUCACAGUCCUUCAUGGUGGUGGGAAUGUUCUGAAGACGCAGGAUAAUGUGGCCGACCAUGUGAUCACUCCUAAGUUCAACACCACACUGCUUGGACCCGGACCUGUGACGCUGUGGAUGGGUGUGUGCCAGCAGACCAACCUCCUGGAUGUCAGUCUUCAAAUUCCACACAUACUUCAGGCUUGAUUUUGGCAUCCUUAGAAGGAAGCUGCAUUGGGAUUAUUCUGUUGGCGUGAUGGAAUUACAGUCUUGUUUUUCUUCAACCAACCCUUCAUGUCAAGUGGCCACGUUGAGCCUCCAACAGGAGAUGACAAUACAGACAACCCUCAGUAAUUGUGGGAGAAAUAAGGCCUCUCACGUGAAAUGUUGAUAAAACAAGCAAACUUAAGUACCUUGAGCAAUAAAAGCAAUACCACUGUUACUG
rnacentral:lncRNA from 1 species